rnacentral:rRNA from 1 species
GACGAACGCUGGCGGCGUGCUUAACACAUGCAAGUCGAGCGGAAAGGCCACUUCGGUGGUACUCGAGCGGCGAACGGGUGAGUAACACGUGAGUAAUCUGCCCCUCACUUUGGGAUAGCCACCGGAAACGGUGAUUAAUACCGGAUAUGACCAUAUGUCGCAUGGCGUGUGGUGGAAAGUUUUUCGGUGAGGGAUGUGUUCGCGGCCUAUCAGCUUGAUGGUGUGGUAAUGGCUCACCAUGGCUUCGACGGGUAGCCGGCCUGAGAGGGUGACCGGUCACACUGGGACUGAGACACGGCCCAGACUCCUACGGGAGGCAGCAGUGGGGAAUAUUGGACAAUGGGCGGAAGCCUGAUCCAGCAACGCCGCGUGAGGGAUGACGGCCUUCGGGUUGUAAACCUCUUGCAGUACCGACGAAGCGCAAGUGACGGUAGGUACAGAAGAAGCACCGGCCAACUACGUG